CAGCCGCCGCGGUAAUACGAAGGGGGCUAGCGUUGCUCGGAAUCACUGGGCGUAAAGGGUGCGUAGGCGGGUUUUUAAGUCAGAGGUGAAAUCCUGGAGCUCAACUCCAGAACUGCCUUUGAUACUGAAAGUCUUGAGUAUGGGAGAGGUGAGUGGAACUGCGAGUGUAGAGGUGAAAUUCGUAGAUAUUCGCAAGAACACCAGUGGCGAAGGCGGCUCACUGGCCCAUUACUGACGCUGAGGCACGAAAGCGUGGGGAGCAAACAGGAUUAGAUACCCGCGUAGUCCCUGUCUCUUAUAC
rnacentral:rRNA from 1 species